CAGUCGCCGCGGUAAAACGGAGGGGGCUAGCGUUGUUCGGAAUUACUGGGCGUAAAGCGCACGUAGGCGGCUUGGUAAGUUAGAGGUGAAAGCCUGGAGCUCAACUCCAGAAUUGCCUUUAAGACUGCCGAGCUAGCAGGUGAGAGAGGUAAGUGGAAUUCCGAGUGUAGAGGUGAAAUUCGUAGAUAUUCGGAAGAACACCAGUGGCGAAGGCGGCUUACUGGCUCAUACUGGACGCUGAGGUGCGAAAGCGUGGGGAGCAAACAGGAUUAGAGACCCCAGUAGUCCCUGUCUCUUAUAC
rnacentral:rRNA from 1 species